ACUGAAGCCGUUUAUGAGAAACAGUGUAUUUCAGAGAGGCUGUACCAGAAUUAACUCUGCUCAGAGUUAGAUUUGCUGGUCUUAAAGUACUUUUCCUCUUCAAGAUAAAAGAAGUUCUUCUAAAUCAGGAAUGGACUGAAAUCUAAUGAACCCAAACUUUGGGUACUUCGGACUUCAAGGGGCUCCUUUAUUGAGAAUCAAUGUCUUCUCCUAGGUAAUUGAUCACCCUAGACCCAGGGACACCCAAUUCAUCGUAAUCAUCAUGAAUAACCAAAAAGUGGUAGCUGUGCUACUGCAAGAGUGCAAGCAAGUGCUGGACCAGCUCUUGUUGGAAGCGCCAGAUGUGUCGGAAGAGGACAAGAGCGAGGACCAGCGCUGCAGAGCUUUACUCCCCAGCGAGUUAAGGACCCUGAUCCAGGAGGCAAAGGAAAUGAAGUGGCCCUUCGUGCCUGAAAAGUGGCAGUACAAACAAGCCGUGGGCCCAGAGGACAAAACAAACCUGAAGGAUGUGAUUGGCGCCGGGUUACAGCAGUUACUGGCGUCCCUGAGGGCCUCCAUCCUCGCUCGGGACUGUGCGGCUGCGGCAGCUAUUGUGUUCUUGGUGGACCGGUUCCUGUAUGGGCUCGACGUCUCUGGAAAACUUCUGCAGGUCGCCAAAGGUCUCCACAAGUUGCAGCCAGCCACGCCAAUUGCCCCGCAGGUGGUUAUUCGCCAAGCCCGAAUUUCCGUGAACUCAGGAAAACUUUUAAAAGCAGAGUAUAUUCUGAGCAGUCUAAUAAGCAACAAUGGAGCAACGGGUUCCUGGCUAUACAGAAAUGAAAGUGACAAGGUCCUGGUGCAGUCGGUCUGUAUACAGAUCAGAGGGCAGAUUCUGCAAAAGCUAGGGAUGUGGUAUGAAGCAGCAGAGUUAAUAUGGGCCUCCAUUGUAGGAUAUUUGGCACUUCCUCAGCCGGAUAAAAAGGGCCUCUCCACAUCGCUAGGUAUACUGGCAGACAUCUUUGUUUCCAUGAGCAAGAACGAUUAUGAAAAGUUUAAAAACAAUCCACAAAUUAAUUUGAGCCUGCUGAAGGAGUUUGACCACCAUUUGCUGUCCGCUGCAGAAGCCUGCAAGCUGGCAGCUGCCUUCAGUGCCUACACGCCGCUCUUCGUGCUCACAGCUGUGAAUAUCCGUGGCACGUGUUUAUUGUCAUAUAGUAGUUCAAAUGACUGUCCUCCUGAAAUGAAAAACUUAUAUCUGUGUGAAGCCAAAGAGGCCUUUGAGAUUGGCCUCCUCACCAAGAGAGAUGAUGAGCCUGUUACUGGAAAACAGGAGCUUCACAGCUUCGUCAAAGCUGCUUUCGGUCUCACCACAGUGCACAGAAGGCUCAAUGGGGAGACAGGGACGGUCCAUGCAGCAAGUCAGCUUUGUAAGGAAGCAAUGGCGAAGCUGUACAACUUCAGCACUUCCUCCAGAAGUCAGGACAGAGAAGCUCUGUCUCAAGAAAUUAUGUCUGUGAUUGCCCAGGUGAAGGAACAUUUACAAGUUCAAAGCUUCUCAAAUGUAGAUGACAGAUCUUAUGUUCCAGAGAGUUUCAAGUGCAGGUUGGAUAAACUUAUCUUGCAUGGGCAAGGGGAUUUCCAAAAAAUCCUUGACACCUAUUCACAGCACCAUACUUCGGUGUGUGAAGUAUUUGAAAGUGAUUGUGGAAACAACAAAAAUGAACAGAAAGAUGCAAAAACAGGAGUCUGUAUCACUGCUCUAAAAACAGAAACAAAAAACAUAGAUACUGUGAGUACUACUCAAGAAAAGCCACACUGUCAAAGAGACACAGGAAUAGCUUCCUCCCUAAUGGGUAAGAAUGUUCAGAGGGAACUCAGAAGGGGAGGAAGGAGAAACUGGACCCAUUCUGAUGCAUUUCGAGUCUCCUUGGAUCAAGAUGUGGAGACUGAGACCGAGCCAUCGGAAGACAGCAAUGGUGAGGGAGCUGUUUUCAACAAGUCUCUGAGUGGCAGCCAGACUUCCAGUGCUUGGAGCAACUUAUCAGGGUUUAGUUCCUCUGCAAGCUGGGAGGAAGUGAAUUAUCACAUUGAUGACAGGUCAGCCAGAAAAGAGCCUGGCAAAGAACAUCUGGUGGACACUCAGUGUUCCACUGCCUUGUCUGAGGAGCUAGAGAAUGACAGGGAAGGCAGAGCUGUGCAUUCAUUGUGUUCACAGCUUCAUGGUCUCUCUCUUCAGGAACGCAGCAAUGACAAUUUGGAGCCUUCUCAAAAUCAGCUGCACCACCAGAUGCCCUUGACACCCUUCUCGCCUCAUAAUACCCCAGGCACUUUCUUGGCCCCUGGUGCAGGGCUUCUAGAAGGAGCUCCAGAAGGUAUCCAGGAAGUCAGAAAUAUGGGACCCAGAAAUACUUCUGCUCACUCCAGACCCUCAUAUCGUUCUGCUUCUUGGUCUUCUGAUUCUGGUAGGCCCAAGAAUAUGGGCACACAUCCUUCAGUCCAAAAAGAAGCCUUUGAAAUAAUUGAUGAGUUUCCAGAAACCAACUGUGAUGCCAAAGACAGGCAGGGGGAAGAGCAGGGAGAAGAAAUUAGUGAAAGAGGCACAGGCCCUACAUUUAAAGCUAGUCCCACCUGGGUUGACCCAGAAGGAGAAACAGCAGAAAGCACCGAAGAUGCACCCUUAGACUUUCACAGGGUCCUGAACAAUUCUCUGGGAAACACUUCCAUGCUGCCAUAUAGCUCCUUCACCCCUAAUUGGCCUGCUCAAAAUCCUGACUCCAGAAAAAGUGGUGGCCCAGUCACAGAGCAGGGCAUCGACCCUGAUGCCUCCACAGUGGAUGAGGAGGGGCAACUGCUCGACAGCACGGAUGUUCUCUGCACAAAUGGGCAUGGCUCUCAUAGACUGUGCACUCUGAGACAGUCGCCUGGUCAGAGGGCGGAGACCCCCAAUUCCUCUGUAAGCAGUAACAUCCUCUUCCCUGUCUUCAGCGAGGACUGCACUACCACAGAGGAAGGAAAUCAGCCUGGAAACAUGCUAAACUGCAGCCAGAACUCCAGUUCAUCCUCAGCGUGGUGGCUGAAAUCACCUGCAUUUUCCAGCGGUUCUUCUGAGGGGGACAGCCCUUGGUCCUAUCUGAAUUCCAGUGGGAGUUCUUGGGUUUCAUUGCCGGGAAAGACGAGGAAAGAGAUCCUUGAGGCUCACACCUUGCAACCUGAUGACUUUGAAAAGCUGUUGGCAGGAGUGAGGCAUGAUUGGCUGUUUCAGAGGCUAGAGAAUACGGGGGUUUUUAAGCCCAGUCAACUCCACCGAGCACAUACUGCUCUUUUGUUAAAAUAUUCAAAAAAAUCUGAACUGUGGACAGCCCAGGAAACUGUUGUCUAUUUGGGGGACUACUUGACUGUGAAGAAAAAAGGCAGACAAAGAAAUGCUUUUUGGGUUCAUCAUCUUCAUCAAGAAGAAAUUCUGGGGAGGUAUGUUGGGAAAGACUAUAAGGAGCAGAAGGGGCUCUGGCACCACUUCACUGAUGUGGAGCGGCAGAUGACCGCACAGCACUAUGUGACAGAAUUUAACAAGAGACUCUAUGAACAAAACAUUCCCACCCAGAUAUUCUACAUCCCAUCCACAAUAUUACUGAUUUUAGAGGACAAGACAAUAAAGGGAUGUAUCAGUGUGGAGCCUUACAUACUGGGAGAAUUUGUAAAAUUGUCAAAUAACACGAAAGUGGUGAAAACAGAAUACAAAGCCACAGAAUAUGGCUUGGCUUAUGGCCAUUUUUCUUAUGAGUUUUCUAAUCAUAGAGAUGUUGUGGUCGAUUUACAAGGUUGGGUAACCGGUAAUGGAAAAGGACUCAUCUACCUCACAGAUCCCCAGAUUCACUCUGUUGAUCAGAAAGAUGUCACUACCAAUUUUGGAAAGAGAGGAAUUUUUUACUUCUUUAAUAACCAGCAUGUGGAAUGUAAUGAAAUCUGCCAUCGUCUUUCUUUGACUAGACCUUCAAUGGAGAAACCAUAACAAUCACACCCCAUGUCUUCUCAUCCUUGAAGACUCACCUCAUCCAACACCUCCUUCAAGAAAUCUUCCCUGACAGCCUUUAUUCCCUUUCCCUCCCCACCACAACCCAGGUCAGAAAUCCUGGAUGGUAUGACUGGGACCUCAGCUCAUGGUAUCACAGGCCUAAAAGCAAUCUGUCAGCUGGCUGUGUUCUCUUCUGGAGCUUGGGAUCAUCUUUCAAUCUCAUUCCUGAUGUUGGUAAAAUUCAGUUCCUUGUGAUUGUAGAACUGAGGUGGCUGUUUCCUUGUUGGCUGUUAGCUGGGUUUGCUCUCAGCUACUUGUAGCCACUCUGGUCCUUGUAUGGAACCCCUCCAGCAUCAAGGCCAACAACAGCACACUAAAUCCUACUCACACUUCAAAUUUCUCUGACUUCUCCUGCUUCCAGUCAUAGAAAACUUUCUGCUUUAAAAGGGGUCAACUAAUUGAGUCAGGCCCACCUGGAUAAUCCUCAUAUUUUAAAGUUAAUGGACAUGUAAUCCUAGCACUUUGGGAGGCUGAGACGGGCAGAUCACUUGAGGUCAGGAGUUCAAGCCCAGCCUUGGCAACAUGGUGAAACCUCGUCUCCACUAGAAAUACAAAAAUUAGCCAGGAGUGGUGGCUCGUGCCUGUAAUCCCUGCUACUUGAGAGGCUAAGGCAUGAGAAUCACUUGAACCCAGGAGGCAGAGGUUGCAGUGAGCUGAGAUCGCACUACUGCACUCCAGCCUGGGCAACAAAGAGAGACUCUGUCUUAAUUAAUUAAUACUUAUUAAUUAAUUAAUUAAGUUAACUGACUUGGGACUUUACAGCAGUGCCUGUAUUACUGUUUGAACAACCAACAGAUAAGAAUCUUGGGGGAGGGCAUCUUUAGAGUGUUGCCUACCACAUAAUGUGAGUUCAGUGUGCUCCUGGUUCUGAGAUGCUGGGUUUCACAUACAUUUUAAGGUUUUUAGAUGCAAGGAACACAGGCUUGUUUAAGGAAAGUUAAAUAGUAUACACAUGAUACAAGAAGUGGUCUCACAGUUCUGAGUCCAGUGGGGGCGGUGGGAGCGAUGACAGUCUGAAAUGGUAGGAGCAGUUGUGUGAAGAUGGAGUUUCCUGGAGGAAAUGACAAUUACCUGACGAUCACAGGGCCUUCACACUCCUUCCUGUCAGGGGCUGAGACAUUCCAUACACCAAGCCUGGGUGACGAGGAAUUUGAAAUCCCACCUAUCUCUUUGGAUUCUGAUCCCUCAUUGGCUGUCUCAGAUGUGGUUGACCCUUUGAUAACCUGGCAGACCCUUCCUCUUCACAAGAUGGCAGUGCUUCAGCCCAGUAUGGGGUCCAGACAUUGGACAUGCUCUGUAGGCAUGACCCAUGGCUUGAUGGAGCAAGGCAGGGGCUCCUCAGUGGAGACUUGAUCAUGGACUUGAACCACUCUAUAGGAACUCAAUAUAGUGCCAACCCACCUGUUACAAUUGAUGUACUAAUGAUAGCCAUGACAUCUGACUUGAUGGGGCAUAGCCAGUUGACCACCAUUGAUCAGUCAGAACUGAGUUUCCAACUGGGUUUGAGCUUAGGGGGUGGCACCAUCCUGCCACCUGCCCAGUCACCUGAAGAUCAUCUUUCAACCACCCCUUCACCUACUAGUUCACUUCACGAGGUUGGUACUGAGGAUUUCCGGAGGCAAAUUUCCAGCCAGAAGACAGUGGUGGUGGAAGCAGGGAAAAAGCAGAAAGUCCCAAAGAAGAGAAAAAAGAAAGAUCCUAAUGAACCUCAGAAACCAGUUUCAGCAUAUGCUUUAUUCUUUGAUGAUACACAGGCUGCCAUCAAGGGACAGAAUCCUAUUGCCACUUUUGGUGAGGUUUCAAAAAUUGUGGCCUCCAUGUGGGAUAGUCUUGGAGAGGAGCAAAAACAGAUAUAUAAGAGGAAAACUGAGGCUGCCAAGAAAGAGUAUCUGAAGGCACUGGCUGCUUACAAAGACAACCAGGAGUGUCAGGCCACUGUGAAAACAGCGGAAUUGGAUCCAGCACCACCAUCACAAACUCCUUCUCCAACUCCUAUGGCUACUGUUGACCCAGCAUCUCCAGCACCAGCUUCAACAGAGCCCCCUGCCCUGUCCCCAUCCAUUGUUGUUAACUCCACCCUUUCACCCUAUUUGGCAAACCAGGCAUCUUCAGUAGCUGGGGGUCAGCCCAAUAUCACCAAGUUGGUUAUUACCAAACAAACGUUGCCCUCUUCCAUUACUAUGUCUCAAGGAGGGAUGGUUACUGCUAUCCCAGCCACAGUAGUGACCUCCUGGGGGCUCCAACUAGGCCAAACCAGUACAGCUACUAUCCAGCCCAGUCAACAAGCCCAGAUUGUCACUCGGUCAGUGUUGCAGGCAGCAGCAGCAGCUGCUGCUGUUGCUUCUAUGCAACUGCCUCCACCCCGACUACAGCCUCCUCCAGUAUAACAGAUGCCACGCCCCCGACUCAGCAGCAAGUUACCAUUCUGCAGCAGCCUCCUCCACUCCAGGCCAUGAAACAGCCUCCACCUCAGAAAGUUCGAAUCAAUUUACGGCAACAGCUACCUCCUCUGCAGAUCAGGAGUGUGCCUCCACUCACUUUGAAAAUGCAGACUACCUUAGUCCCACCAACUGUGGAAAGUAGUCCUGAGCAGCCUAUGAGCAAUAGCCCUGAGGCCCAUACAGUGGAGGCAACUUCUCCUGAGACUAUCUGUGAGAUGAUCACAGAUGUAGUUCCUGAGGUUGAGUCUUCUUCUCAGAUGGAUGUUGAAUUGGUGAGUGGGUCUCCUGUGGCACUGUCACCCCAGCCUCGAUGUGUGAUUGUCUGGUUGUGAGAAUCCUCCUAUUGUGAGUAAGGACUGGGACAAUGAAUGCUGCAGCAAUGAGUGUGUGGUGAAGCACUGCAGGGAUGUAUUCUUGGCCUGGGUAGCCUCUAGAAAUUCAAACACAGUGGUGUUUGUGAAAUAGUCCUUCCUGUUCUCCAAGCCAGUGAAGAGUUAUCUACUGGGAACAUGUCCAAGCGCCUGUUUUUGAAACACAAGCUGGGCUUCUGGUAGUGCCUGAUGACAACCCAUGAUGGCCAUUCAUGUUUCCCCCCUUUUCUCCCUUCAGCAGAGGCCAGGCUAUGAAGCAGGGCCACUGAACUUGCUGUAAUCUGGAGAUGCUUUUUACACAACCACAAGCAGAAAUACCAGUGGUAAUAGCAGAGGAACGGGUGAAGGGAGUAUGGGCAAGCAAAGUAUAGAGAUGGUAGGAGUGGUGGUGGAGUUGAAGAAACUUGUUUGUAUAAUUGUCAUAGGACUUGCCUAAAAUAUUAUUAAAAUGACGGGAGUGUACUCAGCUUUGAGCCUGGGGGGGAAAAGAAAAGAAGUGGUCUCAUAUGAAAAUCCAAGACCAGAAACAAACAUGGAACCUCACAGCAGGAGCUAGUGAAUCCUUGCUCUGGUGAUUUGCCAUUAACAAAAUUUAUGCAGUCUCCUUGAUUGUAUUCUUUCUAUAUUUCAAGUUUAAAUUUCUAGAGUUCUGCUUUCAUUUAGGAUGUAAAACAUCAUAAGAGAAACGGCUCUCACCCUAGCAACUGGAAAAAGACAGAAAACCCACAAACUUUUCAUGAGCCCACUGAAGAGCUAAGGUUACAGGGCAACCAAAUAAAUUAAAUUCCAAAGAAUUGCAAGCCCCUUCAAUGAGAGAGAGGACAUGCAAACUCUUUUGCCAUUGGCAGAGCAUAGAAAAAAGAGAUGACCACCAUACAAGCCAGUUAAAAGAUAUCAGCUGAAAGUUUAGUAGAUUCUUAAAAGUCAAUUGUGGACUAAAGUAUCAGCUUGAAAUAACUGACAGUCCAAGACACAAGAGGAUUUUGCCCUAAUUUACUAGCUCAUUUUCACUGCCCUCCACUAGAGGCUCAUGAGAAAAUCUAGAGAUGAAUAGGCAUGCAGGAGGUCAUCAGUGGUACAGCCAUAGAGAAAAUUUUCAGUUGCCCCUGGGGAAGAGAUAUGAACUCUACCCAGCUACACGGCUCCUUCUGUCACUGAAAGAAAAAGCCUGAAACUACUGGAGAUAAGGCAAGAAUUCUGUUGCUUCUAGUUGAUGACUAGAAGCAAAGGCCCUCUGGCCCUGGGAAAAAGCAGGGAAAACUCUUGGACUCAGGAUCCUGCACUGGUGUAAGGAGAAGUGCGCUACUUCUGGGAACAGGCAGGAAACUGUUUUCUAUCCAUGGCCCAAUGACCCACAGAUCAGAGUUCAACAGACACUGGGAGAAAGGAUAGUCAAGAAACACUGAUGAGGCUUCAUUUCUGAGACGCAGGCAUGCAAGUCUGCCUAAAAUUGAAACUAUGUUAGGAAAAUAAAAAUUCCCUCUUCCCAUGAUAAACCCAGUCCACAAUAGCAAGCAAUAGUAUUUUACCACUGAAGAAGGAUAAAGAACAUGGAAACAGACUCCCCCACCACCACCGUGGUACGGAUAUGAAAGGAGCAAAGAAAGCUGAGGAUAGAGCAGGAACGAUGAGAAAAACAAAACAAAACAAAAAUGAAAACCUCCACUAUCCCAGGCCUGCCCCACUCUAAGCACAAAGAAGCAUCAGCCCACCACUGAAGAAAUUCAGAGCUAGCACUGCAAUGAAGAUAAUGAGAGCAACAAUAAAGCCCAAACCCAGUGUAUGUCUGCCUACGCUAACUCAAUGCCCAACAUAACAGCCAAGCAAAAGAAAAUGCAUGUUCUUUUCCAGGUGUAAAUAUUGUUUGUCUCAGCUUCUAUCAUUCUUCCACAAAGGAUGUCCAACAUUCACUCAAAUAAUAGGAGACUUUAAGAGCAUGCAAAAACAACCCAUUGUCAAGAGAUAAAGCAAUUGACAGAACCAGACUCAGAGAUGACCCAGAUGUUGAGCGUAUCAGACAGAGAUUUUAAAAUCACACUGAUUCAUUUUGAAAUUUAAUAGAAAAUGUGUACAGUAUGCAUGAACAGACAGGGAGUUCAGUAAAGACACAGAAACUAUUUUUAAAAGAGUCAAAUGGGAAUGCUUGAAAUAAAUAAACACACAUAUACACAUAAUACCAACAGUGAAGACUUCACUAUAUGUGCUUAUCAGUAGGCUGAACACAGCUGAGAGAAGAAUUGGUGAAUUUGAAAAUAGAUCAGUACAAGGCAGAAAACUAACAAAGAUAUUCAGGGCCUGAACUCUACAUUUGACCUAAUGGGCCUAACAGACAUCUAUAGAACUUUCCAACUAAAAACAACAGAAUAUACAUUCUUCUCAUCUGCACAUGGCACAUGCUGUAAAAUUGACCACAUAAUCGCCAUAAAACAACCCUCAGCAAACUAAAACAAAAAACCAAAAUCAUGCCAAACACACUCUUAGAACAUAGUACAAAAAAAAAUAGAAAUUAAUUCUAAGAAAAUAACUCAAAACUGUACAAUUAUAUGGAAAUUAACUGAUCUUCUACUGAAUGACUUUUGGGUAAACAAUGAAAUUAAGGCAGAAAUCAUUAAAUUCUUUGAAAGUAAUUAGAACAACGAUACAACAUACCAGAAUCUCUGGGAUACAGCUAAAGCGGUGUUAAGAGAGAAGUUAAUAGCACUAAACACCCACAUCAAAAAGUUAUGAAGAUAUGAAAUUAACAACCUAACAUCAUACCUAGAGAAACUAGAGAAACAUGAGUAAACCAACUCCAAAGCUAGCAGAAGGCAAGAAGUAACCAAAAUGAGAGCUGAACUGAAGGAAAUUGAGAUGUGAAAAAUCAUACAAAAGAUCAAUGAAUCCAGGGGUUUAUUUGAAAGGAUAAAUAAGAUUCACAGACCACUAGCUAGACUAAUAAAGAAAAAAGAGACGCGAUCCAAAUAAACACAAUCAGAAAUGAAAAAGGGGACAUUACCGCUGACCCCACAGAAAUACAAAAAAAAAGUUCAGAAACUACUAUGAACACCUCUAUGCACACAAACUAGAAAACCUAGAAGAAAUGGAUAAAUUCCUGGAAACAUACAACCUCCCAAGAUUAAACCAGGAAAAAAUUGAAUCCCUGGACAGACCAAUAAUAAGUUCCAAAAUUGAAUCAGAAAUAAAAGGCCUACCAACAAGAAAAAGCCCAGAACCACAUGAAUUCAUACCCAAAUUUUACCAGAUGUAUAAAGAAGAGCAUAUACUGUUCCUACUGAAACUAUUCCAAAAAAUUAAGGAGGGGGGAUUCCUUCCUAACUCAUUCUCUGAAAUGAGCAUCAUCCUGAUACCAAAACCAGGCAGAGACACAACAGCAAAAAAGAAAACUUCAGGCCAAUACCCUUGAUGAACAUACAUGCAAAAAUCCUCAACAAAAUACCAGCAAACUGAAUGCAGCACCAGAUCAAAACCUAAGCCAUCACAAUCAAGUAGGGUUUAUCCCUGGGAUGCAAGCUUUGUUUAAUGUAUGUAAAUCAAUAAAUAUGAUUCAUUUCAUAAGCAGAACUAAAAACAAAAAUUACAUGAUUAUCUCAAUCAAUGCAGAAAAGCCUUUCAAUAAAAUUCAACAUCCCUUCAAGUUAAAAACCCUCAACAAACUAGGCAUUGAAGGAACAUACCUCAAAAUAGUAAAAGCUAUCUAUGGCAAACCCACAGCCAAUAUCAUACUGAAUGGGUAAAAGCUAAAAUCAUUCCUCUUGAGAACUGGAAUGAGACAAUGAUACAAGGAUGCCCACUCGCACCACUCCUAUUUAACAUAGUGUGUCCGGAAUUGGUGGGUUCUUGGUCUCACUGACUUCAAGAAUGAAGCCGUGGACCCUCACGGUGAGUGUUACAGCUCUUAAGGUGGCGCAUCUGGAGUUUGUUCCUUCUGAUGUUCGGAUGUUCCUUCUGGUGGGUUCAUGGUCUCGCUGGCUCAGGAGUGAAGCUGCAGACCUUCGCGGUGAGUGUUACAGCUCUUAAGGUGGCGCGUCUGGAGUUAUUCAUUCCUCCCGGUGGGCUCGUGGUCUCGCUGGCUUCAGGAGUGAAGCUGCAGACCUUUGCGGUGAGUGUUACAGCUCAUAAAAGCAGCGUGGACCCAAAGAGUGAACAGUAGCAAGAUUUAUUGCAAAGAGUGCAAGAACAAAGCUUCCACAGUGUGGAAGGGGACCCGAGUGGGUUGCCAAUGCUGGCUCAGGCAGCCUGCUUUUAUUCUCUUAUCUGGCCCCACCCACAUCCUGCUGAUUGGUAGAGCCCAGUGGCCUGUUUUGACAGGGCGCUGAUCGGUGUGUUUACAAUCCCUGAGCUGGAUACAAAGGUUCUGUAAGUCCCCAUCAGAUUAGUUAGAUACAGAGUUUGGACACACAGGUUCUCCAAGGCCCCACUAGAGCAGCUAGAUACAGAGUGUCAAUUGGUGCACUCACAAACCUUGAGCUAAACACAGGGUGCUGACUGGUGUGUUCACAAACCUUAAGCUAGAUACAGAGUGCCGAUUGGUGUGUUUACAAUCCCUGAGCUAGACAUAGAGGUUCUCCAAGGCCCCACCAGAGCAGCUAGAUACAGAGUGUCAAUUGGUGUACUCACAAACCCUGAGCUAGACACAGGGUGCUGAUUGGUGUGUUUACAAUCCCUGAGCUAGACAUAAAGGUUCUCCAAGGCCCCACCAGAGCAGCUAGAUACAGUGUCGAUUGGUGCACUCACAAACCUUGAGCUAAACACAAGGUGCUGAUUGGUGUGUUCACAAACCUUGAGCUAGAUACAGAGUGCUUGCAAUCCCUGAGCUAGAUAUAAAGACUCUCCACAUCCUCACCAGACUCAGGAGCCCAGCUGGUUUCACCUAGUGGAUCCCACACCAGGGCGGCAGGUGGAGCUGCCUGACAGUCCCAUGCCAUGCGCUCGCACUCCUCAGCCCUUGGGUGGUAGAUGGGAGUGGGCUCCAUGGAGCAGGGGGCGGUGCUCGUCGGGGAGGCUUAGGCUGCACAGGAACCCACAGAGGCAAAGGCUCAGGCAUGGCGGGCUGCAGUCCCGGGCCUGCCCUGCAGGAAGGCAGCUAAGGCCCGGCGAGAAAUCGAGCGCAGCGCCGGUGGGCUGGCACUGCUGGGGGACCCAGUACAUCCUCUGCAGCCGCUGGCCAGGGUGCUAAGUCCCUCAUUGCCCGGGGCUGGCAGGGCCUGCUGGCUGCUCUGAGUGCGGGGCCCACCAAGCCCAUGCCCACCCAGAACUCCAGCUGGCCCGGAAGCGCCACACACAACCCCGGUUCCUGCUCGCGCCUCUCCCUCCACACCUCCCUGCAAGCUAAGGGAGUGGGCUCCAGCCUUGGCCAGCCCAGAAAGGGGCUCCCACAGUGCAGCAGUGGGCUGAAGGUCUCCUCAAGUGCCGCCAAAGUGGUAGCCCAGGCAGAGGAGGUGCCGAGAGAGCAAGGGCUGUGAGGACUGCCAGCACGCUGUCACCUCUCAAUAGUACUAGAAGUCCUAGCCAAAGUAAUCUGGCAAAAGAAAGAAAAAGAAGGCAUCCAAAUAGAAAGAGAGGAAGUCAAAAAAAAUCUGUGUUUGGAGAUGAUACGCUUCUAUACAUAGAAAAUCCCAUCGUCUGUGCCCAAAUGCUCCUAGAUCUAAUAAACAACUUCAGCAAAGUUUCAGGAUACAAAAUCAAUAUACAAAAAUCUGUAGUAUUUUAUACACCAACAAUGUCCAAGAUGAGAGAUGAAUCAGUAACACAAUCCCAUCCACAAUAGCCACAGAAAGAAUGAAAUACCUAGGAAUACAGCUAACCAGGGAGGUCAAAGAUCUCUACAACAAGAAUUACAAAACACUGCUCAAAGAAAUCAGAGAAGACACAAACAAAUGGAAAAAUAUUCCAUGGUCGUGGAUAGGAAGACUCAAUAUUGUUAAAAUGGCAAUAUUGCCCAAAGCAAUUUACAGAUUCAAUGCUAUUCCCGUCAAACUACUAGGGACAUUCUUGACAUAACUGGAAAAAACUAUUUUAAAAUUCAUGUGGAACCAAAAGAGAGCUCAAAUAGCCAAGGCAAUUCUAAACAAAAAGAAAAAGGGUGGAGGCAUCACAUUACCUGCCUUCAAACUAUACUACAAGGCUACAGUAACCAAAACAGCAUGGUACUGAUAUAAAAACAGACACAUAGAACAAUGGAAUAGAAAAGAAAACCUAGAAAUAAGGCUGCACCCCUACAACCAUUUGGUCUUCAACAAAGUUUACAAAAACAAGCAAUGAAGAAAAAUUACUGAUAUCUGUAUCCCCACCCAAAUCUGGCUCUGUAUCCCCACCCAAAUCUCACUUUGAAUUGCAAUAAUCCCCACGUGUCAAGGGCAGGACAGGUGGAGAUAAUUGAAUCAUGAGGUGGUUUCCCUCAUGCUGUUCUCCUGAUAGUGACUGAGUUCUCACAAGAUCUGAUGGUUUUAUAAGGGGCUUCGCCCUUUGCUGUGCACUCAUUCUCUCUCUGGCUGCCCUGUGAAGAGGUGCCUUCUGCCAUGAUUGUAAGUUUCCUGAGGCCUCCCCAGCCAUGCUGAACCAUGAGUCAAUUAAACCUCUUUUCUUUGUAAAUUACCUAGUUUCAAGUAUGUCUUUAUUAACAGCAUGAGAAAAAACUAAUACAACUCCCAAUUCAAUGAAUGAUGCUGAGACAACUUGUUAGCCAUAUGCAGAAGGUUGAAGCUGGACCCCUUUCUUACACCAUACAAAAUUCAACUCAAGAUGGAUUAAAGACUUAAAUGUAAAACCUAAAACUAUUUAAAAAAAGAAAAAACCUGCUAGAUAACCUAGAAAAUACCAUUCUGGACAUCAGCCUUGGCAAAGAUUUCAUGACAAAGACUCUAAAAGUAACUGCAACAAAAACAAAAAAUUACAAAUGGGACCAAAUCAAACUAAAGAGCUUUGGCACAGCAAAAGAAACUAUCAAUGGAGUAAACAGCCUACAAAGUGGAAGAAUAUAUUUGCAAACUAUGCUUCUGAUAAAGGUCUAAUAUCCAAAAUCUAUAAGGAACUUAAACAAAUUUACCAGUUGUUAAAAAAACAAACAACCCUGUUAAAAAAACAAGCAACCCUAUUAAAAAAUGGGCAAGGGACAUGAACAGACACUUUUCAAAAUAAGACAUACAUGUGGUCAACAAACAUAUAAAAAAAUGCUCAACAUCACUAAUCGUUAGAGAAAUGUAAAUCAAAACCACAAUGAGAUACUGUUAGAUGGUGUAAGAUACCAGUCACAAUAGUUAUUAUUAAAAAGUAAAAAAACAUGACAGAUGCUGGAAAGGUUCCAGAGAAAGGGGAAUGUUUAUACACUGCUGGUGGGAAUGUAAGUCGGUUCAGCCGUUGAGAAAAGCAGUGUGGUAAUUUCUCAAAGAUCUUAAAAAGAAGUACCAUUUGAACCAGAAAUUCCAUUACUGGGUAUAUACCCCCCAAAAAUAUAAAUUGUUCUACCAUAAAGACACGUGUACAUAUAUACUCUUCCCAUAUAUGUUCACAAUACGUAUAUAUGUUCAUAUAUAUAUAUGUUCACAUGUACAUAUAUGUUCAUCGCAGUACUGCUCACAAUAGCAAAGACAUGAAGCCAACUUGGGUGCCCAUCAGUGGUGGAUUAGAUAAAGAAAUACAUAUAUACCAUGGAAUACCAUACAGCCAUAAAAAGGAAUGAGAUCAUGUUCUUUGCAGCUACAUGGAUGCAGCUGGAGGCCAUGAUCCCAGGUGAACUAAUGCAGGAAGAGAAAACCAAAUACCCCAUAUUCUCACUCCUAAGUGAGAGCUAAACAUUGAGUACACAUGGAUACACAGAAGAGAACAACAGACAUGGGGCCUACUUGAGGGUGGAAGGUGGGAGGAGGGAUUACCUAUUGGAUACUAUGCCUAUUACCUGGCUGAUGAAAUAAUCUAUACACUAAACCCCUGCGACAUGCAACUUAUUUAUAUAACAAACCUGCACACAUAUCUCUGAACCUAAAAUAAGUUUUUUUAAAUGAAUAUGACCUUAGGAUGGCUUUUUUAUUAUACUUUAAAUUCUAGGAUACAUAUGUUAGGAUGGCUUUUACAACACAAAAGAAUAUACUCAUUUUGUCCAAACAUGGUAGUAUUUUAAUGACAUGUUGAGCAUUUUUAUUUUGUUCAUUUUUUAUUAAUUCUUCUUAGCAUUAGAAAGAGUCUUUCAUUUUUUUCCUUUAUUUUGUUCACCAGUCUAUAUAUUUUUUAAUUUCUUGUAUUGCUUUCCAUUUCUCAACUGAAAAGUAACUACCAUGGAAAUGAAAUUAUAUCUGCUCUGUACAAGGUUGUAAUCCUUAUACAGAGGAUGAAAGUUAUAGUUCUUGGUAUAUGUUAGGUGCUCACUAAAUAUUUGUCAAAUAAAAAAUAGAUCAGUAAAUGUUAUUUAAACUGGAAUGUAAAGAGCCAAAAGAGUUUUAAAAAAGAAUAAGAGCUGCCAAAAGCUGCAUAGCAAUAUUAAAAUAACUAAACAUAUGUAAUUGGAUUACCAGAAGAAGAAAAGAUAGAGAAUGAAGCAGAGGAAAUAUUUAAAGAGAUAAAUUCUGAGAAUUUUCCAAAAUUAACAAAAGACAAAAAUUCACAGAUCUAACAAACAUAGAAAAUCUCCCCAAAAUAUAAAUAUCAAAAGAAGCCACACCUAGACAUAUCAUAGUCAAACUGCUGAAACCAAAUAUUAAGACAAAAUCUUCACAGUAGCCAUGCAUGGAAACAGGGUAGCGUGGAGGAGAUAUAACUUACAGAGGAAAAAAGACAAAAAUUACAAAAGACCUCUUGUCAGCAACUAUAAAUUAGGAGACAACGGCAUGAUUUAAAGCAUGAGGUGGGUGGAGGGGAGGGAGAGUUAACUGAAUGUAUUAGGGUUCCCUAGAGGGACAGAACUAAAUUAUAUAUAUAUAUAUCCAAUGCUGUGUGGAAACCAUGUAUAUAUAUAUAUACACAUAUACACACACAUAUAUAUGUACACAUAUAUAUAUACACACACACACACACACACACAUAAAAGGGAGUUUCUUAAGUAUUAACUUACAUGAUUACAAGGUCCCACAACAGGCCGUCUGCAAGCUGAGGAGCAAGGGGAGCCAGUCUCAAAACUGAAGAACUUGGGGUCCAAUGUUUGAGGGCAGGAAGCAUCCAACAUGGGAGAAAGAUGCGGGCUGGGAGACUAGGCCAGUCUCUCCUUUUCACAUUUUUCUGCCUGCUUUAUAUUCACUGGCAGCUGAUUAGAUUGUGCCCACCAGAUUAAGGGUGAAUCUGCUUUCCCCAACCCACUGACUUUAAUGUUAGUCUCUUUUGGUAACACCCUCACAGACACACCCAGGAUCAAUACUUUGUAUCCUUCAAUCCAAAGAAGUUGACACUCAGUAUUAACCAUCACAAGUCCACCCCUUGUCAACUUGAACCCAUACACAUCUCCUGAGAUCAUACAUAAUCUUCAAAUAAAGACAGGAAAUACAACAAUCCUUCAUACAACCAGAAACGUACCACUCCCCAAACCAAAUACUAUUACAUAAGGUUAACAAUACUUAAAUGCUGAUAUGAAAUCAGUAAAUCUUAUGUCACAUGAUAAAGGAAAAAGAAACAAAAUACGGAUUUUUUUUAGUACACACAUAUACAUGCACAAACAUGUUUUUGGCAAAAGAAGGAGUAAAUACUCAUGACAAUUACAGUCCCUAUUUCUGCAGCUGGUCACAUGGUCAUAGCUGGUAUUGAUGAUAACCUUCUUCUACUGCCCAUUCUGUAUUCCCUUUGCUUUCAGCAAGCACCUCAGCAGGUUGCAGUUUUUUUCCUGGUGGAAUGACCCAAACCUUCAUUCCUGAGGGGUCUGGGCCAUUUGUAGUCCUGCCUGGAUUGGGCUGUUGUAGUUUCCCAUUGACCUUAAUCACAGGGCAUAGUAAUACUAAGAGAUGCCCUAGUGGAUCUCCUGCAUCCAUGCCUCCUCUUCCUUACCUCCAUUGUGGAAUAGUAGACUGAUUUCAUCUUGAUAGUCCUCAUCAAUUACCGCAGCCAACACUGUAACUCUCUUCUUAGCCUGUUGACUUAAAGGUAGGAGGAGACCAAAGUGUCCAGGUGGCAAUCUUAACUUCCAGCUUAAUGGAAUUGUUGUUAUGUCUCCUGGUGGCAGGAUUCCUCCCUCUGGAAGUAAGACCUCUAGGCCAGCAGAACAUAAUGUCACGGGAACAGGAAGCAAAAAUUUUGCUAGUGGAUCACUAGGGGUUUUGCUGAGUGGUGCCACUUUCACUUCCACUCCUUGAUUCCUGUACCCAUGAAUUCUGGCUAUGGGAGAAACAGUACCAUAUAUUGGACACUGAUUCAGAGCAUACAUGGCCUUCUGGAGAACUUUGCCCCAGCCCUGUAAAGUACUGUCACCUAGUAGGCAUUGUAACUGUGACUUCAAAAGGCCAUUCCACCAUUCUAUCAAUCCAGCUGCUUCAUGAUGAUGGGGAACGUGAUAAGACCAGUGAAUUCCAUGAGCAUGAGCCCACUGCCACACUGCUUUAGCCAUAAAGUGAGUGCCUUGGUCAGAGGCAAUGCUGUAUGGAAUACCAUGAUGGUGGAUAAGGCAUUCUAUGAGUCCAUGGAUGGUAGUCUUGGCAGAAGCAUUGUGUUCAGGAUAGGCAAACCCAUAUCCAGGGUAAGUGUCUAUCCCAGUGAGGACAAACCUCUUCCCUUUCUGUGAUGGGAGAGGUCCAAUAUAAUCAACCUGCCGCCAGAUAGAUGGCUGAUCACCCUGAGGAAUGGUGCCAUAUCAAGGCUCAGUGUUGGUCUCUGCUGCUGGCAAAUUGGGCACUCAGCAGUGGCUGUAGCCAAGUCAGCCUUAGUGAGUGGAAGCCCAUGUUGCUGAGCCCAUGCAUAACCUCCAUCCCUGCCACCAUGGCCACUUUGUUCAUGGGCCCAUUGGGCAAUGACAGGGGUGACUGGGGAAAGAGGCUAAGUGGUGUCCACAGAACGGGUCAUCCUAUCCACUUGAUUAUUAAAAUCCUCCUCUGCUGAGGUCACCUGUUGGUAAGCAUUCACAUGGGAUAAAAAUAUCUUCGCAGUUUUUGACCACUCAGAAAGGUCCAUCCAUGUACCUCUUCCCCAAAUUUCUUUGUCAUCAAUUUUUUAAUCAUGCUUCUUCCAAGUCUCUGACCAUCCAGCCAAACCAUUGGCUACAGCCCAUGAAUCAGUAUAUUAUUGUACAUCUAGCCAUUUCUCCUUCCAUGCAAAGUGCACAACCAGGUGCACUGCUCGAAGCUCCACCCACUGGGAAGAUUUCCCUUCACUGCUGUCCUCCAUGGAUGUCCUAGAAUGAGGCUGUAAUGCUGCAGCUGUCCACUUUCAGGUGUUACCUGCAUAUCGUGCAGAACCAUCUGUGAAGCAGGCCCUAGUCUUCUCUUUCUCUGUCAAAUGAUCAUAGGGAACUCACCAUGAGGCCAUUGGUCCAGGGUGGGGAAGAGAAGGCAGGAGUGGAGACCACAGGCAUUUGAGCCACUUCCUCAUGUAACUUACUUGUGCCUUCAGGAUCUGCUCAAGCCCGAUCAUGUAUAUACUACUUCCAUUUGAUGAUGGAAUGCUGCUGUGCACAACCCACUUUAUGGCUAGAUGGGUCAGAAAGCAUCCAGUUCAUGAUAGGCAGUUCAGGUUGCAUGGUGUCUUGAUGACUCAUAGUCAAAUGUUCGGUUUUCACCAAAGCCCAGUAACAGGCCAAAGCUGUCUCUCAAAAGGAGAGUAGUUAUCUGCAGAAGAUGGCAGGGCCUUGCUCCAAAAUCCUAGAGGCCUCCACUGCGGUUCACCUAUGGGUCCUACCAAAGGCUCCAAACAGCAUCCCUAUCUGCCACUGCCACCUCAAGCGCCAUUGGAUCUGCUGGGUUGUAUGGCCCAAGUGGCAGAGCAGCUUGCACAGCAACCUGGACCUGUUGCAGAGCCUUCUCUUGUUCUGGACCCCACUCAAAACUGGCAGCCUUUUGGGUUGCUCAAUAAAUGGGUUGGAGUAACACAUCCAAAUGAAAAAUGCGUUGCCUCCAAAAUCCAAAUAGGCCCACUAGGCAUUGUGCCUCUUUCUUGGUUGUAUGAGGUCCAAAUGCAGCAACUUAUCCUUCAUCUUAGAAAGAAUAUUUUGACAGGCCCACACCAAUGGACCCCACAAUACUGGACCCCCUUUUUAUUGAGGUAGAAGUUUCCUGAAUUUUAGUCGGAUUUAUUUCCCAUCUUCUGACAUGCAAUGUCUCACCAAUAAGUCCAGUGUAUUUGCUACUUCUUGCUCACUGGAUCCAAUCAGCAUAAUGUCAUCAAUGUAAAGAACUAGAGUGAUAUCUUGUGGAAGCAAAAAGUAAUCAAGGUCUCUCUGAAUAAAAUUAUGACAGAAAGCAGGAGAGUUGAUAUACCCCUGAGGUAGGACAGUAAAGGUAUAUUGCUGGCCUUGCCAGCUGAAGGCAAAUUGUUUCUGGUGGACCUUAUGGACAGAAAUGGAGAAAAAGGCAUUUGCCAAGUCAGUGGCUGCAUACCAGGUGCCAGGAGAUGUGUUAAUUUGCUCAAGCAAUGAAACCACAUCUGGUACAGCAGCUGCAAUUGGAAUUGCCUCUUGGUUAAGCUUAUGAUAAUCCACUGUCAUUCUCCAAGAUCCAUCUGUCUUCUGCACAGGCCAAAUGGGAGAGUUGAACAGGAAUGUGGUGGGAAUCAUGACCCCUGCAUCUUUCAAGUCCUUGAUAGUGGCGCUAAUUUCCACAGUCCCUCCAGGGAUGCAAUAUUGGUUUUGAUUUACUAUUUUUCUAGGUAGAGGCAGCUUUAGUGGCCUCCAUUUGGCCUUUUCCACCAUAAUAGCCCUCACCCUACCAGUCAGGGAGCCAAUGUGGGGAUUCUGCCAGCUGUUAAGAAUGUCUAUGCCAAUUUUGCAUUCUGGCAGUGGGGUUAUGACCACAGGAUGAGUCCAGGCAUCCACUGGACCCACAGUAAGUUGGACCUGAACUAGAACUCUAUUAAUUACCUGACCUCCAUAAGCCCCUACUUUAACUGGAGGACCACAGUGAUGAUUUGGAUGACUUUAUACAUAGUACCUUUGACCAUAUGUGGAGAACCAAAGAACAUAUUGAAGCUGGUUGGCUUCUUCUAAGUUCAGUGGACAAAGUGAUAAAAGAAAAUUAUGAACUCAGGGAUUCUGUCUCCUGGCUUCAGAAGCAGAUACUGAGACUCAAAUCUACUAAGGUUGCCCUGAGUGAGAGUCUUACCUCCUGUAGAGAAAGAGCUGAAAUUGUAGAAAAACAGACGCAAGCUCUUAUCAUUCGAAUGGCUGACUUUUGUAUAAUAAACGUGUAUCCUUUGCUUUUACUAAAUUAAAUUAUUAGUUCUAAUAGCUUUUUGUAGAUUCUUUAAAAUUUUACAUACAGAUAAUCAUGUUUUCAGUGAAUUAGUUUCACUUCUUUUUUCCAGUCUUUAGCCCUUUAUUUAUAUUAGGUUGGUGCAAAAGUAAAUGCAGUUAUUGCCAUUACUUUUAAUUACUCUUAAUGGCAAAACCUGCAAUUAGUUUUGCACCAUCCUAAUAUUUCUUGCUGUAUAGCACUGGCUAGGAACUCCAAUACAACACUGAAUAGAAGUGAUGAGAGAAAACAUCCCUGCUUUAUUCCAAAUCUUAGAGGGAAAUCAUACAGUCUUUCACCACUAACUAUAAUAACUGUAGUUUUUUUAUAGAUACCCUUUAUCUGAUUGCCAAAAUAAUUUUCUUCUACUCCUCGUUUGCCGGGAACAUUUAUAAUGAAUUAAUGUUGACUUUUACCAAAUUAUUAUUUAAUGCCCAUUGUGAUCAAAUGAAUUUUCUUUUUUAGUUUGUUAAUAUGAUUAAUUACAUUAGUUAAUAUUUAAAUGUUGAACCAACUUUGCACUCUUGGAAUAAAACUUAUUUUGUCUUGAAGAUUUUAUAUAUGUAUUAUUGGAUUCAAUUUAUGAAAAUCUUGGUAAGCUGUUUUCAGUCAAUAUUUAACGGAAGUAUUUGUCCUUUUAUUUAUUUAAUUAUCUAUUUGAUAAAUGCAAUACAUUAAAAACUAACUCUUUAAUAACUGUUUCUUUUAUUUUAAUGCCUUUGCCUGCUUUUGUUAUCAGAAUAAUCCUAGCCUCUGUAGUUACCAAAACAGUAUGAUACUGAUAUUAGUGUAGGCACAUAGACCAAUGGAACGGAAUAGAGAACCCAGAAAUAAAGUCAAAUAUGUACAGCCAACUAAUCUUCAACAAAGCAUACAAAAACAUAAAUUGGGGAAUGGACAUCCUAUUUAACAAAUGUUACUGGGAAAACUGGCAAGCCACAUGAAGAAAAAUGAAACUGGAUCCCUACCUCUUGCCUUAUCUAAAAAUCAACUCAAGAUGGAUCAAAGACUUAAAUAUAAGACCUGAAGCUAUCAAAAUUCUAGAAGACAACAUUGAAAAAAUUCUUCUAGACAUCAGCCUAGGGAAAGACUUCAUGACUAAGACCCCAAAAGCAAAUGUGACAAAAAUAAAAAUAAAUAAAUAAGACCUAAUGAAACUAAAAAGCUUCUCUACAGCAAGAGAAAUAAUCGGCAGAGUAAACAGACAACCCACAGAAUGGGAGAAAAUAUUUGUAAACUAUGCAUCUAACAAAGGACUUAUAUCCAGAAUCUAUAAGAAACUCAAACAAAUCAGCAAGUAAAAACAAAUAAUCCCAUUAAAAAGUGGGCAAAGGACAUAAUUAGGCAUUUCUCAAAAGAAAAUAUACAAAUGGCCAACAAGCAUAUGAAAAAAAUGCUUAAUAGCACUAAUCAUCAGAGAAAUUCAAAUUAAAAUAACAAUGAGAUACCACCUUACUCCUGCAAGAAUGGCCAUUACUGAAAAGCAAAAAAAGCAAUAGAUGUUGGCAUGGAUAUGGGAAAAAGGGAAAGUUUAUACAGUUCUGAGAAGAAUGUAAAUUAGUACAACCUCUAUAGAGAACACUACGGAGAUUCCCUAAAGAACUAAAAGUAGAACUACCAUUUGACAGCAAUCCCACUACUGGGUAUCCAGCCAAAGGAAAAGAAGUAAUUAUAUGAAAAAGAUACUUGCACACAUAUGUUUAUAGCAACACAAUUCACAAUUGCAAAGAUGUGGAACCACCCUAAAUGCCCAUCAACUAAAGAGUGAAUAAAUAAAAUGUAGUAUAUAUAUACACACCGUGAAAUACUACUCAGCCAUUAAAAGAAAUGAAAUAAUGUCUCUUGCAGCAACUUAGACGGUGCUGGAGGCCAUUAAUCUAAGUGAAGUAACACAGGAGUGAAAAACCAAAACAAUAUUUCUCACUUAUAAGUGGGAGCUAAGCUAUGAGUAUGCAAAGGCAUACAGAGUGAUAUAAUAGAUUUCAGAGACUCAGAAGGCAGAAGGUGGGGGGCUAGGGAUAAAAAACUACACACUAGGUACAAUGUACACUACUCGAGUGAUGUGCUCUAAAAUCUCAGAAUUUACUACUGUGUAAUUUAUCCAUGUAACAAAAAAUCCACUUGUAUCUCAAAAUCUAUUAAAGUUAAAAAAGUUGCCAGGCACGGUGGCUCAUGCCUGUAAUCCCAGCACUUUGGGAGGCCAAGGAGGGUGGAUCACCUGAGGUCAGGAGUUUAAGACCAGCCUGGCCAACAUGGUGAAACCCCGUCUCUACUAAAAAUACAAAAAUUAGCUAGGUGUGGUGGUGGGUGCCUGUAAUCACAGCUACUCAGGAGGCUGAGGCAGGAGAAUCUUUUGAACCCGGGAGGUGAAGGUUGCCCUUCCUCUUGGGAUCUAUGAAUAGCAAAGUAUCAUUUCAAUGGCAAUCACCUCCUAAUUUGUUAGAGUCAACACACCAGGACAAUAAUAAAAUCUAUGCCUUAAAACAACGUAUAACUAUGUUAAUAUAGCCACUUCAAAUUUCUUUUGAUUGUGUCCACAGACCACAUUUUUUUCUACCUUUUUACUUUUAUUACUUUUUUCUUUAUAUUCAAAGUAGGCAGCGUGCAGUUGGAUUUUGCUUUUUUAUCUAAUAUGACAAUUUCUGCCUUUUAACUGAACUAUUUAGAUCAUUUACAUUUACUGGAAUUGACAAUAAAGUUGUAUUUAAAUC